rnacentral:rRNA from 1 species
GAUGAACGCUGGCGGCGUGCCUAAUACAUGCAAGUCGAGCGAACAGACGAGGAGCUUGCUCCUCUGACGUUAGCGGCGGACGGGUGAGUAACACGUGGAUAACCUACCUAUAAGACUGGGAUAACUACGGGAAACCGGAGCUAAUACCGGAUAAUAUAUUGAACCGCAUGGAUCAAUAGUGAAAGACGGUUUUGCUGUCACAUAUAGAUGGAUCCGCGCUGCAUUAGCUAGUUGGUAAGGUAACGGCUUACCAAGGCAACGAUGCGUAGCCGACCUGAGAGGGUGAUCGGCCACACUGGAACUGAGACACGGUCCAGACUCCUACGGGAGGCAGCAGUGGGGAAUCUUCGACAAUGGGCGAAAGCCUGACGGAGCAACGCCGCGUGGGUGAUGAAGGUCUUCGGAUCGUAAAACUCUGUUAUUAGGAAAGAACAAAUGUAUAUUUAACUAUGCACGUCUUGACGGUACCUAAUCAGAAAGCCACGGCUAACUACGUG